UCCCUGGUGGUCCAGUGGUUGAGACUCGAGCUUUAACUGCUGUGGCCCAGGUUCAAUCCCUGGUUGGGGAA
rnacentral:tRNA from 1 species